AGCAGCCGCGGUAAUUCCAGCUCCAAUAGCGUAUAUUAAAGUUGUUGCAGUUAAAAAGCUCGUAGUUGAAUUUCGGGAUUGGCGUACCGGUCGUGUCUUCGGGCAUGUACUGGUAAUGUUAAUCUCCACCUUCUAGUGAACUAUUAUGUCUUUAACUAGGUGUAAUAGGGAGCUAGGACUGUUACUUUGAAAAAUUGAGUGUUUAAAGCAGGCUUUAUGCUUGAAUAGAUUAGCAUGGAAUAACGAAAUAGGACGGCAUGAUUCUAUUUUGUUGGUUUCUAGGAUCACCGUAAUGAUUAAUAGGGAUAGUUGGGGGCAUUAGUAUUCAAUUGUCAGAGGUGAAAUUCUUGGAUUUAUUGAAGACUAACUACUGCGAAAAGCAUUUGCCAAGGAUGUUUUCAUUAAUCUAAGAACGAAAGUUAGGGGAUCGAAGACGAUCAGAUACCGUCG
rnacentral:rRNA from 1 species